rnacentral:tRNA from 1 species
GGGCGCGUAGCUCAGUUGGUUAGAGCGCUUCCCUUACAAGGAAGAAGUCGGGGGUUCGAGUCCCUCCGCGCCCA